rnacentral:rRNA from 1 species
GCAUGCCUACAACAUAGUGUUAAUGCACUAGAUCCCAUGAGAACUCCAUAGUUAAGUGUUCUUAGGCUAGAGUAGUAUUUGAAUGAGUGACCGCUUGGGAAGUUUUAGUGUUUUACAUUCC